rnacentral:lncRNA from 1 species
CGCUAAAGGGCUGCUAGGUAGUCAGUUAUGAGCAACCAGAGUCCAAAAUAAGAAUGAGUUGCAACGAGGUAGAGGAUAAGAGGGAUACCGAAUUCAGUGAAUAGUUUACAGUUGCCAUAGGUAUAGGAUAUCUGAGUUUAGGUAAGUCUAGUGGUAGCUUGCCCGGUGUCUGGGCUGCCCCUUCGGAUUCAAGGCGGAUGACGCCACUUGUUAUAUUACGCCAGUGGAGUCCGUCCCUUUGACACCUAGCCCAGCCUAGCCUCUAUAUUUCAAGUUCAGGAGUUCAGGUGCUAAAGAAUAAGAAAGGAAAAUAGCUGUUAUCCCACGCCACGGCAGCCAGUGUUUCAGUAGAGGAAGGAAGCCAGAUGGCCUCAACGCUAGGGCAGUGGAAU